rnacentral:rRNA from 1 species
UACAGAGACUGCAAGCGUUACUCGGAUUCACUGGGCGUAAAGGGAGCGCAGGCGGACUAGUGUGUCAGGCGUGAAAUCCCGGGGCUCAACCCCGGGGCUGCGCCCGAAACUACUAGUCUAGAGACUUGGAGAGGUAAGCGGAAUUCUUGGUGGAGCAGUGAAAUGCGUAGAUAUCAAGAGGAACACCAACGGCGAAGGCAGCUUACUGGACAAGAUCUGACGCUCAGGCUCGAAAGCGUGGGGAGCAAAAGGG